rnacentral:rRNA from 1 species
ACGAACGCUGGCGGCGUGCUUAACACAUGCAAGUCGAACGGAAAGGCCCUGCUUGCGGGGUACUCGAGUGGCGAACGGGUGAGUAACACGUGGGUGAUCUGCCCUGCACUUCGGGAUAAGCUUGGGAAACUGGGUCUAAUACCGGAUAGGAGCCAUCUUUAGUGUGGUGGUUGGAAAGUUUUUUCGGUGUAGGAUGAGCUCGCGGCCUAUCAGCUUGUUGGUGGGGUAAUGGCCUACCAAGGCGGCGACGGGUAGCCGGCCUGAGAGGGUGUACGGCCACAUUGGGACUGAGAUACGGCCCAGACUCCUACGGGAGGCAGCAGUGGGGAAUAUUGCACAAUGGGCGCAAGCCUGAUGCAGCGACGCCGCGUGGGGGAUGAAGGCCUUCGGGUUGUAAACUCCUUUCGCUAGGGACGAAGCUUUUUUGUGACGGUACCUAGAUAAGAAGCACCGGCUAACUACGUG